UCCUACGGGAGGCAGCAGUCGAGAAUCUUCCGCAAUGGACGCAAGUCUGACGGAGCGAUGUCGCGUGCUGGAUGAAGUGCUUCGGUACGUAAACAGCUUUUAUGUGGGACGAAAUUAUUGACGGUACCACAUGAAUAAGGGGCUCCUAACUCUGUGCCAGCAGCCGCGGUAAU
rnacentral:rRNA from 1 species